CGUGCUCUGACGUGGUACUGAAUACGUGAUGCUAUAUAUAAAAACCAGGAAGCAAUCCAAGAGAAACGGCACAUUUUAGCUCCGCUGCAGACCAUACACAGAACACAGUGAUGCAGAAAAAUAUUCCUGGCUGCGUUUUCCAGCAAAUGUAUUCUUCCCUAACUGGCAUUUCUAUGAAGAGAGACCACAUGAAAGAUCUCAGAAGAUACCUGGUGCUUAAAUAUAUCCAAUACCUCGUCCUGUCUUCUACAAAUACUAUCAGCACUUUGCUGGGUCUGCUGGGCAGUUUGUACACGUUGAUCAUCCUGCAGUCUGCAAAGGUUUCGUCCAAGUCCACUGCGGUUCUCAUUUCCAGCCUCGCAAAGGCAGACCUCCUGGUUUUUGUUAGCGUUGUCUCUGAGAUGGUCGUACGGACCUUUGGCGUUGGUGUCUCCUCGACGACGUUCACGUCGGCCCUGCUGCAGAACCUGCUCACCGCAAACACCCAUAUCAGCUGCUUGCUGCUCAGCUGCGUUGCCUUCGAGGCUUACCUGAUCACCUUCCUCCCCACAGAGUCCCGGCAGCUACGGACGGUGAGGAAUGCCAGACUGACAUCCAGGAUCAUCUGGAUGCUGGUGACCGUGGAGUGUGCCCUGUUCCAAGCGGAUGAUCUCCUGAAGGCCGCCGGCACUUCUGCUCCCACCCGCAGCCCUUGUGUGUUGUUGUUUUACUUCUCCAGCAUGGCUGCCACCUUUCUCAGGUCCCUCAGUUAUUUCCUGGGCAUUAUUUUAAGGAUUGUCAAUGUAUACUUCUACUACAAAAUAUUUUUUAGCAUGUCGAACAGAUCUAGAGUAAAAACAAAAUAGCGCCCAUUCCCAGAGGAAGCAUCGCUGUGACACGAGACAGAAGACACUUCAACACGAUUUCAAAGUACUGGUUUGAAAACUGUUUGAUAACCAAGACCAAGGCUCACAUUUCGGCACACCGUGGAGUUUAAACCUUUCUGUUUUCUGAUGUACUUUGUCUUGGUUAUUGUGAGAGCUUGGGGUUGAGGAGCCCUUUGGCACUGAAACACAAUGAAGUUGGGCUGUGCGUGCUCAUGUGGAGAGACUUUGAGCACCAUGGGCUCGUUUUGAUUGUUCUUCAUCCAGAGUUUAUUCACUGUAUGGGUGAAACAAUUGACAUUUCAUGGACGGUUGUAAAAACUAAAAACCCAAAUAUUUAUUACAUAAAAAGGUGCUUAGAGGCUUACUCAGGGAUCCGUUGGGCCAAGAGCUGUAUGGUUGUAUAAUAAAGAUGUGAUCUAUGUCUUAAAAUGUCUCUAACCCAGGUGAUGCACGGGGCUCAGCAGGUAGGCUGGAUGGACAAGGAGAGCACCAAGCUGACCCAGCCCAGCUGGGCUUGUCCCUCAGGUGACACCAGCCCCACCAUGAGAGUCCCCAGGACAGAGCGGGACUGAGCUGCCUCAUCUUGGUGCACACCUGGAGCUGUUCUCGAGAUGCUGCUACAACAGCGUAAUAAAUAGCUUCACGGGGAGGUUAUCAGCAAAACAUAAAGUCCUCCAGAUACCUCAGAUGCUCCCCAACACACAAGUGGUUGUAGGUACUUCCAGUUACUCUUGCACGGGGGAUGGCCUCCAGCUUCCAUUAAACACUGGUUUUGAGAGACUGAACUUCUGUGAUAUGUCCUGCAAUCCACACAUCGUAAACGGUGGAAAGAAAAGUGAAAUAAGCCAAAGUGCAAGUAUUAGUAGCCAAAAUGCCACAUACAGCCUCCGUCUGUCAUGCUUCCAGACCUUCAGUGCACCCUGCCAGCUUGAGCACAGCAAUAAACCUCUGCCUGCCUGAGAAGAAGGACACGGGGCAAAAAAACCUAAAUAUGAUGAAUUUCAGUUCUAACCUUCCCACCUUCAGCCUGCAGUGGAUCCUCACACUCAAACUGGUACCAGUGAAGCCCUGACGUGCCCUGCUGGCAGCAGCUACUUGGCAUUUAGACCAUUAGAGCUGAAAACUGGAGCUGUGACCACUUCCCCGGGUGGCCCAAGGUGAAUGGAAGCAGAGAGGUUUUCAACAGAAGAUCCGACUUCACAAAACCAAGACAAACAGCAAGCGCAGUAGAGUUUCCUGCUCUCUGCUCGCCAGACAGUUUCUAAGUUUCGCAAUCACGCUUCUCCUAGUUGGUCUCAGAAGUGUUUGUUUGGCUUUUUUCCUCCUUCACCAAGAUGAACUUGACCAAAAAAAGGCAAUGCUGAGAAAAGGGGCAGCGAGAGCCAGUGCUGCCCGGGCAGGAGAUCCUUGUCCCCUGGGGACUGUCUGCAUCGCAGCCGCGCUGAAUGACACAAGAUAGGGGUUUGUUUGCAUGUCAGAUGAUGUCAGCUCAGUUUUAAUGAGAGGCAAAUACCCCAGCCUGAGGAAUACGCAUCUCACAUCAGGAUCUCUGAGAUUCACAGGAGCUAUCUGCCUAAGUGUGGUUAUUUAUGAUGAAUAUCAGCCACGGCAGAGAUGCUGUGGACAGUGCGGGGCCAGAAGCGAGUGAAGAGUGUUUGACAUAGUUUCUCAGAAGACUGAAAGGAAACACUGCUGAGGGCUGGGUGCCCAGCAAAACCAGAGCAGGAAUGGAAUCAAAUCACUUAAAAACACUUUGAUGCAAUCCCUUCAAUUAGGAUGUUGCCUAACAAAGCUGAUUCCUUCUGCAAGAAGGACGUCUUCAUAAUUUGGUGCACUGUGAUAGACUGUUUCUAUUCUGGAAGCCUGAAGUGCCACUUUCAGAGAAGCCAAAAUGCUACUUGAAGUUCUGUAAUUAAUAAAAGUUUGUUUUGUUAAGGCUUGUGCACUAAUUAUGACAAAUGUGUGCCCGUGCAGAUGUCUGAGCAUCCACGAGCGGACCGGAGCCGGGUUUGCUACACGAGGCACAAGGGAUUUUACAUCUCUGAAUUCAUUGCCUGGGUCUCGAUAUUUUUUUGCCUGCUUUCCCUGACAAGUGGCUCUGCCCUCAGGACAAUCCUUUUCUUAAGAAAUUAAUGAAGGCAAACACUUGGCUUAAACAGCAAGCGCAUCGAAAGUGGGCAGCCUAUAGCAAAACACAGCAGCUUCUCACUUGUAUCUGGAAAUCAGGAUCCAGGUACCAGGUUGAGCAGGACCCAGCAGGUGCCAGGGGUGGCACCUUCUUCGCAUCCCUUGCCCAGGGAGACAUGGGGACAUGGAGCCAUCAGCAAAGCUUUUACUGCUCCUUUCUGAGCAGGAGGAAAGCUGUCAUCCUGCUUUACUUUCCAAGUCACUAAUUUCCAUAGUAUGAAUGAGAAUUUUACUAAUCUUAAGUAAGCCAGCAACCAAAAUGAUGUCAGCUGAUGUUAAUACUACAGCACUCCCCAUCCAAAGCAAAGGAAUCGAUUAUCAGCUUACUCCAGCCAGACCAAACCUGGUGUGAACCCCAGAAUACUGCAUUGGGUAUUUUUUCACAAGAGGUUUUAUUUUCUGGGAAGUCAGGAAGGAGAACUAUCAAAAAAUACUGAUAAAAGCAGGUUUUCUGUAGAGCCUGGCAGGUUUUAGAGCUGGGUGAUCUGUUAUCCUGCUGCUGCUCUUGUUCGUGUUAAGAACCAACAGACUCACGAGUGACUUUUUCUACUCAACACCUGAGAAUAUACACACAGAAACAAGCAAUCCUGCAGCUCUGACAUCUUUUCAGCAUCUUCUAGCUACCCACUCCUCCAAAAUGGCAAAUGAAUUCCCCAAAUAGUCUUCACCAAUAAAAGCAUAUGGUAAAGACACACAAAAGCUCUGCAAAGGUAACUAGAGACCCCAUCACCGUGGCCACCCGCAUUGCUUUGAUUGCUGCAUCUCCACCUGGAUGGAUUUGCAAGAAAAAUUCCCAGGAUUUGGGAUUUUCUCAUCUGUGGUGAAGUCACAGGCCUGAUUUGUCUCUGAUUUCAGGUCUGGAGUGGAGCUUAAAACUUCCCCCGUCUGACAUGCUCUGAGGAACGGAGGUUCCCAAGUUGCAUCAUACGCAAAGAUAAGCAACGUGUAAACUUAAGUGUCGGUUAUUGGAGCCACUGAGCUGAGAUCUACAGAUAAGAUGAUUAUUUUAUCACAGCCGAAGUUGGCAAGAUUUUUAUUAGUGAACAUUUAAACCACAUUUAUCUCCUUAGUUGGCAAAGAGGGACACAGAGAAAACCCAGAUGACAGAGAGAUGCUCUUGUGCUCCUAUCUCCUGCCCUAAAUCUAAGCAGCAGAAAGCAAAUGUCUUCUUUGCUGUUGCAUGCCUGCCAGCAGCCUGGCCCCAUCACCCCCGCUUCUGAUCACCUUCUCCAAUUUAAAGGAAACAAACCUCCCACAGCAUGAUAAAGCAACUGAUAAAUAGAAAGCGUUUCCUUUCCCCUGCCAGCAGAUGUUUGCCUCCUCAUACGAAGUUUCAAAAUCAUUAAAAGGGGGAUUUUUCUACAGCUCUACUAACAGACAUGGUCUAUAUUUGUUUUUUAAAUGUCCUUGAAGUACAACUCCCUGAGCAAUUCCGGCUGGGUCAUGAACCAGCACGUCUGAGCAUUGACCCAGCUGUGCCCGAGAGGACAAGUCGCUCUCUGCCAAGGUUCACAGCCCCAUCUGUCUUUGCCAAGAGCUUGGAGUUAUUGUCUUCACCAAAACUUCACAGCACGCUGUCCCCUGGCUUCACGUGCCCUGCAGACACUGCCGUCCCUUGGGCCAUCCCAGGAAGCCCAGCCUGUCCUUGCGGAGUUUUAAAGAACAGAGCAAGACCUGCUCUGCAGAUGCGAUGGUGCUUUUAAGGGCUUUUCCAAGUGAUCAUAGAAUCAUAGCAUCAUUUUGGUUGGAAAAGACCCUCAAGACCAUUGAGUCCAACCAUAACCCAGCCCUGGCACUACCCCAUGUCCCUGAGAACCUCAUCUCCAUCUGUCCAACCCUCCAGGGCUGGUGACCCCAGCACUGCCCUGGGCAGCCUGUUCCAAUGCCCCACAGCCCUUCGGGGAAGAAUUUUUUCCUGCUAUCCGAUUUAAACCCUCCCCUGGCCACCCCCCUCACAUGAGGCCCAGAGAUCCAUAGGGAACAGCAGAAAGUCCAUGGAGGAUCUUCUAGAGCCUGAGCUGGCGGUGGGGAGAACACGGGGCAGCCAGGCCAGCACACAUCCACAGCCCAUCUGUUGUUCAGGUGUUGGUAACCUCAGACAAAUCCCUCCAAAGCCUGAAAAAAUCCUUGGCUACAAGAUAAUGGAGCAACUGGGAAAACCAGCCAGGCUGCUGUUUAUCAGCAGAAUAUUCUAAAAGCAAAGCAGCGGUGAAACAAACCCCCGAGCAGCCUGGGUUGUGGUGGGAGCUUUGUGUUGCUGAGCAAUCCCUGUGGCCAGCUCGAGGACUAUCUUGGGUGCAAGUUCUCUUUUUCAACACCUGCCAAGCAGCGUAAAAUAAAUAGUAAAACACACUUUGGUCCCAGCGGGCAGGGGUGUGAACUCCUCACUGAGCCUCACAGCAGCACAACCCUCCUCCUGCUGUUGCAGCACCUUGUGCUUGUGAUUGUUCCCUUCUCAGGGCACAGAGUUUCUCCAAGCAGGUGAUUUUUGACCGUUCAGCCCAACUGGUCACUGCACUGGUCUAGGACGUGUGUAAACUUUGCCUCUUGGAAGUAAAUCACUUAACAUUUCAAUGCUUUUAUAUGUGUGUCAGUCAGCAAUCACACCACUGCAGUGGUGCUAUAUGAGCACAAAGUUGAAAUAAAAGACAUUUUGGAAGAGAUAUGUGAUGGUGCACAAAGAGGGGAAUUUUCAGGUCAUGAGAACGACCAGAACAGUCAAAAUCUGCAGCUGAGUUUAAAAUUAAAAUCUAAACAGUGUGUUUGCCUCACUUCAUUAUCAAGGCAAGAGCUGAACAUUCCUCAUGCCUUUGCUGGGAAGCCUCUUUCAAAGGAAAUUUGAUAAUAAACCAGGGAGCCAGUUCUGAGAAGGAACCAGUCAGGCAAGAAAGUCUUUUUCUCCAACUAGGUCAUCUUUCAGAGAGCUAUUUUCUGAAACACUGAUAAUCCAAAGAAAGGACUUGAAUUUAGACCUCACCCAACCCACAUGAACAGACUGAGCUGAAAAGACAGGUUUGCUCUCUGCAGUAAAUCAUGUUGCUAGAAGACAUUGAGUUGUCUUGGAAAAUGUUGCUGUUUUGACAUCGAUGCUUUAAAAUCCUAGAAAAUGAGGGACAAGUGUGUUCCUUCUAACAGAUGCUGGCUCAGUUUUCUUUCAUUCGCAGAAAUGUAUCCAAAUAACAUUUAAAAGAGCUUUGGGGGUGUUUUCUGCUCAGUCGGGAGGCAGCCAGACCCUCGCAAGGCUCCGGGCAGCCCCGGCGCACGGAGGGCACAUGGUGCCCCGACACGUCCUGCCGCUGGCGUUUCUGGCUCUGAACACUUGUUCCUUUUUUGCUGUAUCGUUUCUGAAGCCGUUUCUGGCAAGGGAAAUCAGCGCUCUCCUUUGCCGAUCGUGCCCUCUGCUGGGAAAGCAAUGGGUUAGGCCAGCCAGAAAGAAAAUCCUCCCGGUUUGCUCUGGCAGGUGCUGAGAGGAGGCAGCAAGUCCUGACCAGCUCCAGACCUGGUCCCGCGGUGGCACCUUCCAUCUGCCACCUCUGUGCUCUGCCACACGAUGCCCCUUCAUUCAGAUGUGGUUUUGGGAGCUCUAUCUCGUGCAAUGCAACUAUGGCAAAUAAAUCCCACUGGGCAUGAUUAACCCCU